rnacentral:rRNA from 1 species
UCCGUAGGUGAACCUGCGGAAGGAUCAUUAUCGAAUUUAAAGCUUGGUUGAGCUGUCGCUUCGGCGUACGUGCUCGCCUCGCCGUCCAUUCUUCAACACCUGUGCACACUUCAAAGUAAUCGUUCUGUCCCAUCCCGCUUGUACGGGGGAGUUGUGAAAAAGGGAUCAUUAAUUUGGUUUCUCUUUUUAUAGCUUUCCAAAGAGAGGGUAAGACGUUAMAAGAACGAUCUUUGCCUUAUAACAUACCCUUCUUUUAAAAAUGUUUAUGAACGUCAAAAAAAAUGUAGGCUCGCCUUAAAAACGUGUAGCUGAAAUUAUAAAAUUAUACAACUUUUAACAACGGAUCUCUUGGCUCUCGCAUCGAUGAAGAACGCAGCGAAAUGCGAUAAGUAAUGUGAAUUGCAGAAUUCAGUGAAUCAUCGAAUCUUUGAACGCACCUUGCGCUCCCUGGUAUUCCGGGGAGCAUGCCUGUUUGAGUGUCAUUAAAUUCUCAACUUCGAAUCGUUUGUUUACAGACUUUACGAGGCUUGGACUUUGGAGUGUGCCGGUCUCUAACGAGAUCGACUCCUCUUUAAAUGCAUUAGCUGGAACCUCUUGUGGACCAGACUACGGUGUGAUAAUUAUCUACGCUGUUGGUCUUGUGAAGCACUUUAUUGUUACGAGGUUCUGCUUCUAAUCGUCCUUUACUGYGACAAUGAGGGUUUUAUUCUUAAUUGAAUUGGCCUUUGACAUUUUGACCUCAAAUCAGGUAGGACUACCCGCUGAACUUAAGCAUAUCAAUAAGCGGAGGA